CAGUAGCCACGGUAAUACGGAGGGUGCAAGCGUUACUCGGAAUCACUGGGCGUAAAGGACGCGUAGGCGGAUUAUCAAGUCUCUUGUGAAAUCUAACGGCUCAACCGUUAAACUGCUUGGGAAACUGAUAAUCUAGAGUAAGGGAGAGGCAGAUAGAAUUCUUGGUGUAGGGGUAAAAUCCGUAGAUAUCAAGAAGAAUACCUAUUGCGAAGGCGAUCUGCUGGAACUUAACUGACGCUAAUGCGUGAAAGCGUGGGGAGCAAACAGGAUUAGAUACCCCCGUAGUCCCUGUCUCUUAUAC
rnacentral:rRNA from 1 species